UGCCAGCAGCCGCGGUAAAACCAGCACCUCAAGUUGUCAGGAGGAUUAUUGGGCCUAAAGCAUCCGUAGCCGGCUCUGUGAGUUUUCGGUUAAAUCCAUAUGCUCAACAUAUGGGCUGUCGGAAAUACUGCAGAGAUAGGGAAUGGGAGAGGUAGACGGUACUCGGUAGGAAGGGGUAAAAUCCUUUGAUCUAUCGAUGACCACCUGUGGCGAAGGCGGUCUACCAGAACAUGUUCGACGGUGAGGGAUGAAAGCUGGGGGAGCAAACCGGAUUAGAUA
rnacentral:rRNA from 1 species